rnacentral:tRNA from 1 species
GGUUAUAGCUCAGUGGUAGAGCGCUGGCCUAGCAUGUAUCAGGACUGGGUUCGAUCCUCAGCACCA